UGCCAGCCGCCGCGGUAAUACGGAAGGUCCAAGCGUUAAUCGGAAUUACUGGGCGUAAAGCGCGCGUAGGUGGUUUAUUAAGUUGGGUGUGAAAGCCCCGGGCUCAACCUGGGAACUGCAUCCAAAACUGAUUCACUAGAGUACGAAAGAGGAAAGUAGAAUUCACAGUGUAGCGGUGGAAUGCGUAGAUAUUGUGAAGAAUACCGAUGGCGAAGGCAGCUUUCUGGUUCUGUACUGACACUGAGGUGCGAAAGCGUGGGUAGCGAACAGGAUUAGAUA
rnacentral:rRNA from 1 species